GACGAACGCUGGCGGCGUGCCUAAUACAUGCAAGUAGAACGCACAGUUUAUACCGUAGCUUGCUACACCAUAGACUGUGAGUUGCGAACGGGUGAGUAACGCGUAGGUAACCUGCCUGGUAGCGGGGGAUAACUAUUGGAAACGAUAGCUAAUACCGCAUAACAUUAAUUAUUGCAUGAUAAUUGAUUGAAAGAUGCAACUGCAUCACUACCAGAUGGACCUGCGUUGUAUUAGCUAGUAGGUGAGGUAACGGCUCACCUAGGCGACGAUACAUAGCCGACCUGAGAGGGUGAUCGGCCACACUGGGACUGAGACACGGCCCAGACUCCUACGGGAGGCAGCAGUAGGGAAUCUUCGGCAAUGGACGAAAGUCUGACCGAGCAACGCCGCGUGAGUGAAGAAGGUUGUCGGAUCGUAAAGCUCUGUUGUAAGAGAAGAACGGGUGUGAGAGUGGAAAGUUCACACUGUGACGGUAUCUUACCAGAAAGGGACGGCUAACUACGUG
rnacentral:rRNA from 1 species